rnacentral:rRNA from 1 species
UACAGAGGUCUCAAGCGUUGUUCGGAUUUACUGGGCGUAAAGGGUGCGUAGGCGGUCGGCUAAGUCGAAUGUGAAAGCCCGUGGCUCAACCACGGAAUUGCAUUCGAUACUGGUUGACUUGAGGACUGGAGAGGAGACUGGAAUUCACGGUGUAGCAGUGAAAUGCGUAGAGAUCGUGAGGAAGGCCAGUGGCGAAAGCGGGUCUCUGGACAGUUCCUGACGCUGAGGCACGAAGGCUAGGGGAGCGAACGGG